rnacentral:rRNA from 1 species
CAGCAGCCGCGGGAAUACGGAGGGGGCUAGCGUUGUUCGGAAUUACUGGGCGUAAAGCGCACGUAGGCGGCUUUGUAAGUCAGAGGUGAAAGCCUGGAGCUCAACUCCAGAACUGCCUUUGAGACUGCAUCGCUUGAACGUCGGAGAGGUGAGUGGAAUUCCGAGUGUAGAGGUGAAAUUCGUAGAUAUUCGGAAGAACACCAGUGGCGAAGGCGGCUCACUGGACGACUGUUGACGCUGAGGUGCGAAAGCGUGGGGAGCAAACAGGAUUAGAUACCCCAGUAGUCCCUGUCUCUUAUAC